UACGGAGGGUGCAAGCGUUGUUCGGAAUCAUUGGGCGUAAAGGGCGCGUAGGCGGCCUUCCAAGUCAGGUGUGAAAUCCCACAGCUUAACUGUGGAACUGCGCUUGAAACUGGUCGGCUUGAGUACGGGAGAGGGUAGCGGAAUUCCGAGUGUAGAGGUGAAAUUCGUAGAUAUUCGGAGGAACACCGGUGGCGAAGGCGGCUACCUGGACCGAUACUGACGCUGAGGCGCGAAAGCGUGGGGAGCAAACAGG
rnacentral:rRNA from 1 species